UUGAACGCUGGCGGCAGGCCUAACACAUGCAAGUCGAACGGUAACAGAAAGCAGCUUGCUGCUUUGCUGACGAGUGGCGGACGGGUGAGUAAUGUCUGGGAAACUGCCUGAUGGAGGGGGAUAACUACUGGAAACGGUAGCUAAUACCGCAUAACGUCGCAAGACCAAAGAGGGGGACCUUCGGGCCUCUUGCCAUCGGAUGUGCCCAGAUGGGAUUAGCUUGUUGGUGGGGUAACGGCUCACCAAGGCGACGAUCCCUAGCUGGUCUGAGAGGAUGACCAGCCACACUGGAACUGAGACACGGUCCAGACUCCUACGGGAGGCAGCAGUGGGGAAUAUUGCACAAUGGGCGCAAGCCUGAUGCAGCCAUGCCGCGUGUAUGAAGAAGGCCUUCGGGUUGUAAAGUACUUUCAGCGGGGAGGAAGGGAGUAAAGUUAAUACCUUUGCUCAUUGACGUUACCCGCAGAAGAAGCACCGGCUAACUCCGUG
rnacentral:rRNA from 1 species